rnacentral:rRNA from 1 species
AUUGAACGCUGGCGGAAUGCUUUACACAUGCAAGUCGAACGGCAGCACGGGGGCAGCCCUGGUGGCGAGUGGCGAACGGGUGAGUAAUACAUCGGAACGUGCCCGGUCGUGGGGGAUAACGUAGCGAAAGUUACGCUAAUACCGCAUACGAUCUGAGGAUGAAAGCGGGGGACCUUCGGGCCUCGCGCGAUCGGAGUGGCCGAUGUCAGAUUAGGUAGUUGGUGGGGUAAAGGCCUACCAAGCCGACUAUCUGUAGCUGGUCUGAGAGGAAGACCAGCCACACUGGGACUGAGACACGGCCCAGACUCCUACGGGAGGCAGCAGUGGGGAAUUUUGGACAAUGGGCGCAAGCCUGAUCCAGCCAUUCCGCGUGCAGGACGAAGGCCUUCGGGUUGUAAACUGCUUUUGUACGGAACGAAAAGGCUCUGGCUAAUACCUGGGGCUCAUGACGGUACCGUAAGAAUAAGCACCGGCUAACUACGUG